CUAAAUAUCUGUAGUAGGCUAAGGAAUGUGUUCUUAAAAGAGAAUUUGUGAAGGAUCUAUUUUGCUUACUCAAGGAUCUCAUUUGCUGGGACACUUGUGUAGUGAAAGCAAAAGAACCAGGUGUAAGUGGAAAAACCCUUAGUCACUAAGGGUUGUUUGGGCUUCUCAGUGCUGAAAUUCAGGGGUGGCUGGUUUCCUCUGCCACGACGGAUCCUGGCCUGAUUUGCCUGGCUGUUUUGACAUUUUGUAGACCCAACAUAUAGAAGGACACCCGAGGGGAGUUUCGUACUCAAGUGGUCGCUAUUCUCCUCACACGUACCUUGGAGCGUCUUCGCAAGGUGUGAGGUUGGGAAGGCUGGGACACAUUCAUGGGGAUGUAGGAAAAAGCAGUGUGUCGGGAGUGCUUUUAGUUUCCAAUAGGGAGAGUCACUUUAAAGCUUUAUUUGUCUCUCAUGCCUCAGCUAACCCCAAGAGAAAAGCUUAGCUCAGGACAGGAAGCUCAGAGCGCCCAAAAGGAUGACAACACAACUCAGGGCUAUUUAUGUCUGCCUCUUACAUGUCCCUCUGUGCCAUUACCCCAAGGCUGAGGUGUGCUGGCGCUGUAGGGAUCCUGACUAUACCAUCAUUCCCUCGGAAACCAACAGGCCGACAUGCUGCACAGGCCAGGCCCACUGCAACCCGACCCAUGAGACCCAUGCUUUUCCCAGGCUACCUCCCUGCCCCUGGAGUUACAGGUUUGGAAUAUUCUGCAUGGACAGGUUUGUCCUCUCGUCAGGACACGUCAAAACUUGCAGAGACCCUGGCAGGCACGGCUCCCAACUCUUCAUUGGACAAAAGAACAACCUAAGACUCAGAGCUGAGAAGUGAUUUUGCCAGGGUCACACAGCCAGCUUGGGGCAGAAUCGGGAUUCAGGGACCUGUCUCCUACUUCUAAUGUGUCCUCUCUCCAUUACACCAGACACGGCGAGAACACGGAGAACCUAAAAGAAGAAAGAAAAAAACAGCUUCUUGUUGAAUAUCUUGAGCUUCUGGUUUUCAAGGACAGCUUUAUGAUUAAUAGCAAUGAUGCCUCAAAAGCUAUGGCAGCUAGCUUGAAU
rnacentral:lncRNA from 1 species